rnacentral:rRNA from 1 species
UAGGGAAUCUUCGGCAAUGGACGAAAGUCUGACCGAGCAACGCCGCGUGAGUGAAGAAGGUUUUCGGAUCGUAAAACUCUGUUGUUAGAGAAGAACAAGGACGUUAGUAACUGAACGUCCCCUGACGGUAUCUAACCAGAAAGCCACGGCUAACUACGUGCCAGCAGCCGCGGUAAUACGUAGGUGGCAAGCGUUGUCCGGAUUUAUUGGGCGUAAAGCGAGCGCAGGCGGUUUCUUAAGUCUGAUGUGAAAGCCCCCGGCUCAACCGGGGAGGGUCAUUGGAAACUGGGAGACUUGAGUGCAGAAGAGGAGAGUGGAAUUCCAUAUGUAGCGGUGAAAUGCGUAGAUAUAUGGAGGAACACCAGUGGCGAAGGCGGCUCUCUGGGCUGUAACUGACGCUGAGGCUCGAAAGCGUGGGGAGCAAACAGG